rnacentral:lncRNA from 1 species
UAGAGACUUGAAGGUAAUAAGUUAUUUCAGAAUUUCAAUCCAGUUGCAUUUAUUAGGUUUUAAAGAAUUCAAUACUUUUCACCAUUUUUUCAUUUGAAAAAUUCUUAUUUACAAUGCAACUAUGAUCUCUUAAAAAAAAUCAGGAUUUGUCAGGAUGAAAAAUCUAGGAAAUAAAGUUAUCUGGCCUUAAAAAUGGAACCCUUCGAGUUUUGAUCUGAAUAGUAUCUUUAUUUCAAGUGCCUUAGUAUUGACCCAUUUCAACGACACAUUUUUUGUUUUUUUAUUUUUUAGUUCCACUGUACAAAGAGAGAUAAUCCCAAAAGGGAGAUAAUCCUGAUUUUUAUGGUAGAAAUUUUAGAUAGACCAAUGUUUGUAAAUAAAUGAUACUUAAUCGUACUGUUGUAAAAUCAAAAUAUCAAAAAAGCAAAAGCCUGACAUAGUGUGUGAGUGUUAUAUGAAGAAUUCAUCUUAUCAUUCUCUAAAGGAUUAUGGGUUAUCUCAUUGUUGGUACACCAAAAUGAAAAUAGUGUUACAUCAUUGGAUGGAUUUCCAAUGUUCAGAAAGUUUUAAACCAAUCACAACAACGUUUUGGUGAACACUUUUAAAAAUAUUACCCAGAAUGCAUUAGAUUCUGAAAGGCAAAUUAUGCUUAAAUUCUUAACACUGAAUAUACACAGAACAUCAAUUCAUAUCAAUUAAGUUUUAUUUUUGUUACUGAUUUUUCAGCUUUAAAACUUUGGUAGGGGUCAUCAGAGGUCAUUUAAAGGGGAUGCUCCUGUAUCUUUGAAAUUUAAAAAGCCUCCCUGUUAUAUCCAGCACCACACUUAUUUCUUAAAGUCCCAACUUUUUUUAAAUUUAAAUUCAAGUACAUUGAUUUUAUUUGGUACAUACCAUACACAUAUAUGUAUGACUGAAAGCAUUGCAAAAUACAUUAUGUAUUUUAUAAGUAUUUUGCAAAAGUUAAAUAAUAAAUUUGUUUUAAAAACCACAAUUCUAAAUGUUAUUUUGAUCUGAAAAAACUUAAAUGGUGCAUUGUGUGGUGUUGGCUGUUUUAAAAACUAUGAAAACAGAGACCAACUCUUUAAAAUUUAUGAACCUUUUAAUUAAAACUGUGGUAAAAUGGGGAGGCAAGUCAAAUUUCUUUCUGAAUUGAACAUUUUUUUAUUUAAAAAGACAAAAAUCAUCAAAAUCAUGACAAAAAUAAAAACUUUGUGAAGUAGAUUAUAAUGUUUUUGUCAAUUAUAUAUAUAAUUUAAGGAGGUACCCAAC